rnacentral:rRNA from 1 species
AGCGAACGCUGGCGGCAGGCCUAAUACAUGCAAGUCGAACGGUCUCUUCGGAGGCAGUGGCGGACGGGUGAGUAACGCGUGGGAACGUGCCCUUUGGUACGGAACAACUGAGGGAAACUUCAGCUAAUACCGUAUGUGCCCUUCGGGGAAAGAUUUAUCGCCAUUGGAGCGGCCCGCGUUGGAUUAGCUAGUUGGUGGGGUAAUGGCCCACCAAGGCGACGAUCCAUAGCUGGUCUGAGAGGAUGAUCAGCCACACUGGGACUGAGACACGGCCCAGACUCCUACGGGAGGCAGCAGUAGGGAAUCUUGCGCAAUGGGCGAAAGCCUGACGCAGCCAUGCCGCGUGAAUGAUGAAGGUCUUAGGAUUGUAAAAUUCUUUCACCGGGGACGAUAAUGACGGUACCCGGAGAAGAAGCCCGGCUAACUUCGUGCCAGCAGCCGCGGUAAU